GCCGGUGUGGCUCAGUGGUUGGAGCACUCGCCUGCAGACCGAGGGGUCCCGGGUUCGAGGCCCAGCCAAGGGCC
rnacentral:tRNA from 1 species